CUUUUAGGUCCUGGUAGUGUUGGUUGCUGUGGCUGAUUUUGGAUAGCCACCGCUGGCAACCUCAUGGCUCGCAGGAAAUGGGGUACAUCUUUGGGCCAGCGGACCACAUGCCAGGUGUUACCCAUGUGGGCCUGGAGACUGAACAGGUACCCCCAGUGGUAGGGGAUCUGUUUAUCUUGUAACAUGCGUGUCAGAGGCCUCAGUGAUCUCUGUGCUUCCAGUGUCAGGGUGGAGAGGUCCUGGAAUAGAUUGACUUGUGUGUCCAUGAAAUGGAUUGAGUUCAGGGAUCUUGCCACCCUCAUGAUAUUGGCCUUCAGUUGAAAGGACAGUAGGCAGCAUACGUCUCUCGGCAAGCCAUCUCUUCCAGGAAGCCAGAGGGCCAUGUGGGCGUGUUCAUUAUUAUAUUCCACUGGUGCUAAUUUACCCAGGAUCUGUGUGAACAGGCUCGACAGGAUUUCUUGCAGGUUCUCGCCGUCUGUCUCAGGGAUAUUGUUCUACCUGCCGCUGAAGCUCAAGGAACAAUGAGACCUGUCUGGAGGUCACUACGUCUACAGCCUAUGUGUGUUGAGUGAAGGGCGCCAGCCUUCUGCCUCCCGUUAUUCCACCCAAUUUUCAAAUAGGGGAACUCUCUGCGAAGUUCCCCUAUUUCCUCCCAGGUCUCCGCUCUCAGUUCUGUGGGAGGAGAAUGCAGGUAAAGGCUCUGACUCCCAUCACCAUUAGGCAGCCACUGGACCCCAGGGACAUCACCCUCCAGCACCUAAAGGUAGGAAACAGGAGGGUGACUAACAUUUUUAACAGUUUGUGUGUGUUGUGUGAAUAUCUUUAUGUGUGUGUGAAUGUCUGUAUGUGUGUAUCUGUAUAUUUGUCUGCAUGUGUGUCUAUAUGUGUAUCUCUGUCUGUGUAUCUGUAUGCAUGUGUGUCAGUGUGUGCCCCUAUGUAUCUGUAUGUACAGUUUAUAUCUAUAUGCUUCUCAUUCUGUGUAUCUAAAUGUUUGUCAUUAAGUGUGUCUUUGUAUCUGCAUGCAUGUCUAUAUGUGUAUCUGUCUAUAUGUGCAUCUGUGUAUCCACAUGUGUGUGUUCUGUGUCUGUAUGUGUCAGUGUGUGCUCUAUGUAUCUGUAUGUGUAUCACUGUUUAUAUCUGUAUGCGUAUCAUUCUGUGUAACUAAAUGUUUGUCAUUAAGUCUGUCUGUGUAUCU